CGCGGCCUAUCAGCUUGUUGGUGAGGUAACGGCUCACCAAGGCAUCGACGGGUAGCUGGUCUGAGAGGACGAUCAGCCACACUGGGACUGAGACACGGCCCAGACUCCUACGGGAGGCAGCAGUGGGGAAUCUUGCACAAUGGGCGAAAGCCUGAUGCAGCGACGCCGCGUGGGGGAUGAAGGCCCUAGGGUCGUAAACCCCUUUCAGUAGGGACGAAAUUGACGGUACCUACAGAAGAAGGUGCGGCCAACUACGUGCCAGCAGCCGCGGUGACACGUAGGCACCAAGCGUUAUCCGGAUUUAUUGGGCGUAAAGAGCUCGUAGGCGGUUCAGUCAGUCGGGUGUGAAAACUUGAGACUCAACCUCAAGAGGCCACCCGAUACUGCUGUGACUCGAGUGCGGUAGGGGAGCGGGGAAUUCCUGGUGUAGCGGUGAAAUGCGCAGAUAUCAGGAGGAACACCAGUGGCGAAGGCGCCGCUCUGGGCCGUAACUGACGCUGAGGAGCGAAAGCAUGGGUAGCAAACAGGAUUAGAUACCCUGGUAGUCCAUGCCGUAAACGUUGGGCACUAGGUGUGGGUCUCAACCAACGAGAUCCGCGCCGUCGCUAACGCAUUAAGUGCCCCGCCUGGGGAGUACGG
rnacentral:rRNA from 1 species